rnacentral:rRNA from 1 species
GACGAACGCUGGCGGCGCGCCUAACACAUGCAAGUCGAGCGGAGUUAGUUUGUAGCUUGCUACAAACUAACUUAGCGGCGGACGGGUGAGUAACGCGUGGAUAACCUGCCUUUUACAGGGGGAUAACACAGGGAAACUUGUGCUAAUACCGCAUAACAUAUAGAAGUGGCAUCACUUUUAUAUCAAAGGAGCAAUUCGGUAGAAGAUGGAUCCGCGUCCGAUUAGCUAGUUGGCGGGGUAAGGCCCACCAAGGCGACGAUCGGUAGCCGAACUGAGAGGUUGAGAGGGCACAAUGGGACUGAGACACGGGACAGACUCCUACGGGGGGCAGCAGUGGGGAAUAUUGCGCAAUGGAGGAAUUCCUGACGCAACAACGCCGCGUGAAGGAUGAAGGCUUUCGGGUUGUAAACUUCUUUAGUCGGGGACGAAAAAAUGACGGUACCCGAAGAAUAAGCCACGGCUAACUACGUGCCAGCCGCCGCGGUAA